AGCAAAGUUAAAAUGAUCGUUUAAAGUGUGGUCGACAAGAAUUCUGCAAAUAUUACGUCUGUUUUUCUGUGGUGUGACGUUUAUAUGCCUGUUUAUAAUGAUUGCCUUUUACGUAAAUGAUUGGCCAUUCCCGCGAUGUAAAUUUUCUUCAUUAAAUGCAUGCCAUCCCUUGAUGCUCAGUAGGAAUCCCCAGUAAUUUAAAACAACAAUGAUUAACACAGCGUAUCUCUUAUCGCAACGAUGAAGCUCAGUGUAAAGACUUUUCACUCGUCAGUCACUUGGAUUGUUUUAUGCGUACCUUCGUUUGCAACAGUAUUCAACUAUAGUUUUACAAUGCACGUCAUACUCAUCGUUUCUACUGUACUACUGCUGGGAGUUGCAUCGUCUUCCGCUUUCGUCUGUCCCCAACUCCACUUGGCCAAUGAUUUUCAUCCGCACGAAACGGACAUCGCCAAAUACUACAACUGUACGAGAGGAAUCGCUACGGUACAAACUUGUGAGAGCAAUACAAUUUUUAGCCGAAUGACGCGCAGAUGUACUGCGGUGUGGUCCGCUGACAAUGAAAGUGAUACUGAAGUGGCGCCGAACUUCAACUUAGCGGAAAAUUACUGAUUUCCUCCGGAAUCCGUGUUGAGGAAAUUGAUCUGUCCAGUUUACCAUGUAAAAAGGGUCGAAUUAGCCCUGGAUUCAAAACUUCUUUCAAUAAAAAUAAAAAUUAUUUUUAUAGUGUUGCUGAGGUUUA